rnacentral:lncRNA from 1 species
GCUGGCCCGGGGACCACAGAUUGGAAGCAGGCAGUCACUGGUCGUGGACAGGAAGACUCUCUCCGGCCAUCUCAGCUGUGGUCCUCUAACCUGUGCCUGUGAGCCACCAAGAGUGAACGGAAACUAGAAGCAUUGCCACCAACAACUGGAGCAGUGACCACACUGAAGUUUCUCUGUCGAGGGGGAAGGGGAGUAAGGAGAAAAAAAAAAAAAAAAGGCAAGUAAGCAAGCAAGCCAGCAAGCACAGGAGCACACUCUCGUGGAGGCCCACACCCUCCCUGUGCCUACCCAAGAUGUGUCAGUCAGAGAAGCAUCCAGGACCGGAGCUCCAAGCAGCAGCAAAAUGGUUGUACUUUCCCCAGCUGGCCCUAUGGCGGAGGCUAGGCCAGCUGAGCUGCAUGUCCAGACCUGCUCUGAAUCUGCGCUCCUGGCUGCUGACCAUCCUCCACUACCUCCUGCCCUUCCGUGUGCUCGGGCCCCACAGCCAGGUGGGAUGGAGGCCCCUGAGCAGGGUGUUCCUGUAUAAAACUGUGCCAACGAGUUUGCUGUCAUGUGCCUGUGGUCGCCUCAACAAAGUAGAACUUCCUUACUGGCUCUGGAGGCCAGUCUACAGCCUGUAUAUCUGGACCUUUGGGGUGAACAUGACUGAGGCUGCAGUGGAGGACCUGCACCACUACCGCAACCUCAGCGAGUUUUUCCGGCGUAAGCUGAAGCCUCAGGCACAGCCUGUCUGAGAUUUGUACUGUGUGGUAAUGCCUGGCCCUUGUCUCCAUUCUUCAUUAGGAAAUGAAACCCUUGUCUGCCUUUAAGCCAGGCUUAGCAGCACCGCAUGGCCGUGGCACUCCGGGAGGCUCCCUCCUGACCUGGACUGGAGCUCCCUGAGGACUUGGCAGAUGGUAGAGUUUGGGGAGCCACUGAAGGUGAGCACUACCCCCUCCUUACCUUCAAAACUCUGUCUCCUCCAGACCAGCCCAUCAGAUGGCAAGAUCCUCACCUUUGGGCAGGUGAAGAACUCUGAGGUGGAGCAGGUAAAGGGCGAAACCUACUCCUUGGAGUCCUUCCUGGGCCCUCGAACCAGUACAGAAGACCUGCCCUUCCCUCCAGCUUCUUCCAGUGACUCCUUCAGAAACCAGCUGGUCCCCCAAGAAGGGAAUGCGCUCUACCACUGUGUCGUCUACCUGGCCCCAGGAGACUACCACUGCUUCCACUCCCCCACUGACUGGACCGUCUCACAUCGGCGCCACUUCCCAGGUCUGCCCAGGGGUGGGCAUUAGAGGCCCUUGGCCUUUUGACUUGAGAGGACUGGGCUUGAGGCUGGUGUCGUCAAGGCCAGGAGAGGACUUCUUGAGGUGGCUGGCUAUAGGCGAGGGUAUCUGGGGUCCUGCUUAGAAUUUGGACCGCUUGACCUGUGAGUCCCUGUGGCUCUUCGGCCAUUCUGAUGUGAACAUGUCAGGGGCUGAGCAGAAAGUAGCAUAUUCUCUUGUCUCUUCAGGUUCCCUGAUGUCAGUGAACCCUGGCAUGGCCCGAUGGAUCAAAGAGCUCUUUUGUCACAAUGAGCAUGUAGUCCUAACUGGAGACUGGAAAAAUGGGUUCUUCUCGUUGACAGCAGUGGGAGCCACCAAUGUGGGCUCUAUCCAUAUCCACUUUAACUGAGUGAGCAAAGCCCACAGGCUAAACCUCUUGGGUCCAACCACUUCAUUUACUGUACAGCCUUACCUUUGGGCUUAUAAAUUUUGUAGUGCAGGAGGGAUGAUCUAGCUCUGCUCUACAGACAUCCAUACCAGCCCAGCCUCCCUCUCCCUGUUGCCCAAUCUGUGGCCAUUCACCUGCCUGAACCAAUCCCACAUCUUAACACACGGCUUCUGCCAGGAUCCCUGAUCAGAAGCAAGGAUGGAGCCUGCAGGAGGGUAGAGUUGGCUUGGGUGAGAAAAUCUGGUACCCACUCUGCCUUUUUAGGUUUUAAUGGCUGCUGCUGGCACUAGCCUUUCAGCAUUUAUGUCUAACCCCUGCCCCUCCUUGUCAAAGUCACAGCUGAUACUGGGAGUGUUGAUUAGUUAGGCCUUUGUCUCUGCCACCUGGGCUGGGCAGAGUUGAGGACAGGCUCAACCUUCUUGUUCCUAGGACUUGCACACAAACAGCCCCAGGUACAGCAAGGUACUACAAUGACCUGAGCUUUGUAACAAGGAGGGCAUUCCCAUGCACAAGGGUGAGCCCCUGGGCGAGUUCAACCUGAGCUCCACAUCAUGCUCAUCUUCGAGGCACCCAAGGACUUCAACUUGAGGCUGAAGGCAGAACAGAAGAUCUGCUUUGCAGGAGCACUGGGCUCCCUCUAGUCCUCUCGGUUGUGGCUGCCAAAGGAUCUUUCCACACAGGAGCAUGAGGGUCUUUAGCGGAGCCCCAGGAUGUCUGGAUGUCUAGGUGAAGGUCCUCGGAUUUCGGCUCCUCCUGGCUUAGCUCCAGCCACCUACGCAGGCUGUUGGCUUGUCGCUGGCAUGACCUGGAGAUGGGGACACCUAUCAGGCUGGGUUCUUGGCACAGCCCCAAGUGAGCCCUUUGAAGAGAUAUAUUGGCUAAUAAAGUGCUUCGAGAGAAUGGCC